rnacentral:tRNA from 1 species
GAGGGCAUAGCUCAGUGGCAGAGCACGUGCUUAGCAAGCAUGAGGUCCUGGGUUCAACCCCCAGUACCUCCA